rnacentral:lncRNA from 1 species
UCCAUUGGCUGUAACAAGAAAGGUUUCAUCCCCACACCUGGCAAGUGUACCCACCAUUGAAUUAAAUUAGAUACCAGCUUCUUUCUCUGUCCAUGCACGCUUCUCCAACAAAGUAAAAGAAAAUUUGAAUUGCUUGUGAUUAUUUUUGUGAUAUUUCUUUAUUAUUGCCCCGAGAAGAGUUGAAAGCAGAAGAUUUGACUGUGUAGUAUUCACUUGAAUUGUGGAACGAUUUAAAAGAAAGAUAUAGCUAGCGGAAUAUGAUAAUUCUAUUUAAAACUCGUUACGAUUGGAUGCACUUGAAGUUGCAAGGUUUUAGAAUUACGUGAGUAGAGCUCUGUAGUAUUUAGGAUAAGUUUUUAAUUAAAAAUGCAUGGGGA